CCGUGAUACAGCGCUGAUGCUUCAUGCCUCCUCCUCUGACAAAGUAACCAAACCCCACCUCCUGUUCAGGGGACAAGGAAAAGCCCAGGACUUGCAGAUGGCAAGUUGUCAUACGCAGUGACGUAGUGAGGCAAGUUGUUCCUGGCUCCCGUCUGAAAACUCUGUCCUCCCAGGCCUUCCUGUCAUGUCCCAGUCGCCCUUCUGCCGGCCUCACCUCCUGGUCACAGGCUUGGACUCGUGUGGUCUUCAGAGGAAAGCAUCUGCAUACACCCAGUCACUCCACAUUGUUCAAAUGUUUAUGGCCAUUUCCAUCAACUGAAAACUUUACAGUGUGUCCUCAUCCACAGUAUUGACCAGCUCUGGGACUGUGCAAGGUGUGUCUCCUUCCCAAAGUCAAGUGGGCAUGGAAAGUGAGCACUGUUAAUUGAUUCAGGAGAUUGAAGUAGUCACGACCACACAACUAAAACCACGAAAAAGGACUUUCAGAAGUGCUUCAGAAAGUGGCGAGAAAGAUGGAUAAAUGCUUUGGAAGGAAAGGGAAAUAUUUUCAGGGGAAUCAAUGGCAAUGAGUGUCUUUUAUA
rnacentral:lncRNA from 1 species